rnacentral:rRNA from 1 species
CACGUGAGAAACCUGCCCUGGAGUGGGGAAUAACUCGGGGAAACUCGAGCUAAUACCGCAUACCCUCGGAUGGUCGCAUGGCCGACCGAGGAAAGAUUUAUCGCUUCAGGAGGGUCUCGCGGCCUAUCAGCUAGUUGGUGGGGUAACGGCCUACCAAGGCAACGACGGGUAGCUGGUUUGAGAGAACGAUCAGCCACACUGGGACUGAGACACGGCCCAG